UUUUUUUUUUUUUAAUUUAUUUAUGAUAAGCACACAGUGAGAGAGAGAGAGGCAGAGACACAGACAGAGGGAGAAGCAGGCUCCAUACACCGGGAGCCCAACGUGGGAUUCGAUCCCGGGUCUCCAGGAUCGCGCCCUGGGCCAAAGGCAGGCGCCAAACCACUGCGCCACCCAGGGAUCCCCCAGUUAUGUUAGUUUACAGAUGCUCAACUGAUCUCCCUUUUAACAUUUUUCAUUAUAAACUCCUGUAGGACAAGGACUAGUUUUUUAUCUCUUUGGCAUCUGGUAUCCAGAUAUCUAAACCUAAUUCCUAUUUAGGAAAAUAUAAUUGAUAAUGCCUGAAUAUGGAUUUCAAGUCAUAUUAACCUGGUUUCACUUAAAUAUCAAGAAAAGUUGAACUUCUGAUAUAAGCAAAACAUAGCUGGAAAAAUCACAAUUUUAUAAGUAGCCAUGGCUUAAAAACAUCUAUAAUUUUAUAAAAGGGGAAGUAUUAUUGAAAUUCUUUAUGAAAAGGGCCAUCAGUCUAGAAUAUGUGCAAUAAUAACAAUAAUUCCUUUUGUGUAUUAUAUGUAGUUAUACUUCUGAGGCUGUUUAAUUCUUAAUUCCUAUGUUUUACAAACAACCAAGUGAGAAUCUCAUUGGUUAAGGACCUUGCCCAGGUUUACACAAUAAAUUAGUGACCUAGUUUGGAUGUAGCAAUCUAGUUCCUUGGACUUACCAUAGGGAAAUCAUACUGAAGAGAAAGGAGGAUCAUGAAUUAAUUAAACCAUAAUUUUCUCUAAUAUCAAAGAUGCAUUCUUUUUCAUCCUUAAUCUCUAACUUGUUUACUUGGGGGUUUUUUUCAAUGUAUUACCAAAUUUUACAAGUUUUUAUUUUAUGAAUUUAGGAACUGUGCCAUAUUUAUGUUUUUAUUUCCAUUCCUAUGUAAGUCUCUGUUAUACAUGAGACAUUCGAUCCUUUUUCAAUGAACGAAGGAAUGCAACAUGUGCUCUUUACAUGUGCCUUGUCUUUUCUCUCAUACAAUGGUCCUCAUUUUGUAUUCCUCUACACACCUUGUUUCCUAUGCCAUCGUCUCUAUUAUACAGUCCUGUUAAUCCUCCACUCUCCCAGAUUUCACUGUAUGAUUGGAAAAUAUUUUCGUUGACCCCCAAAGAUUCUUUUUUCCCAUUAAUCAAACUCCUUCUAAAAUUCCGUUUGCUCUCUCUACUUGGCUACAUCCCAAAAGCCAGAUAAAUACUGACUUUUUCAUAAAUUCUCCUCAGAUUCAAUGCCAAGAAUCAUUUCUCUUCCACCUCUAUAUUCUCUCAAAACUAGACCUGAUAUUUGUGGCACUUAGUACUUUUUAUAUCUGCAUCCACAUUUAUAUCCUACAACAUUUUGGGCCAGUUAAUUCUUUAAUUCUUUGCUGUGGGGUACUGACUGUACUGUGGAUUGGCAGAUGUUUAACAAUGUCUUUGGCUUUUAUUCACUAGAUGUUGAUAGCACACACUCAGUUGUGACAACCAAAAAUACCUCCAGAAAUUGCCAGAUAUCCCAUGGAAAAAAAAAUCCCUGCCCCCCACAUUGAGAACCUAUGAUUUAAGUCUAUAUGCAUAUCCACAUUCAUAUGCAAAGAAUAAGACUGAUUGACUGAUCUUCAUCUAUGUUAUGUACUAGGCAAAAUAGCGUAGGUUAUCUAUUUUAGUUUUAUUGACGAUUUUAAGUGGUAUUAUUGGCACCAAUUUAGACAUGAGGAAAGCAUGGCUCAGAGAGAUAAACAACUUAAAACAAAAUGCACUGUAGCAUGUACAUGUGUCUUUGCACCACGUUACCUGACAAUUUAGGAUGAGCAGGAUUCUUGUCGCUUCCACCUUUCUACCUCCGACAGGGUCUAUUGUGUGGUAGUUGUAAAAUAAUAAAAAAAAUCAGUGAACCAAAAGAAUGCUCUCAGACUUACCACAUGAGCUACACAUUCUCUCUGGGCUUCACAUAUUCUGGAUUUGCAUUACUAUGAAUUGCCUAUCUAUUCCUUAACCUUGGUAUAUUUAUUUUAAGGAUGUAAAUUGGAUUAAGUUACAUUGCUUAAGUGAAGUAUUUAAUAAUAUAAUUUUGUUAAUCUUUCUGUCUAUCUUCAAGCUUUGGUAUCAUAGUACAAUGAAAAACACAUGAGCUUUCAGAAUCAAAAUGUUAAAUUUAAAUUCUCACUUCAUGCCUAACCAGCGAUGUGGCAUUUACUUCAAAAACUAAACAUUCCUUGGUUAGUGCAAAGAACAUAGAGAUGAAAACUGCAUUCCUGAUUACCUAGAGAUUUAUACUCUAGUAAAGGGGAACAAAACUUGAAACAAAAUUAAUUCAAAUACAGAGCUAUAAUGUUAAAAGCAUAUACAAAGUAUAGCGAUAGCACAGAGGAAGGAAGCAUAAGGAUAGGAGGUAAGGAUAGGAGAAUUUCCAGGAGAGUCAGCAAUCAUGGUGGGAUACACAGAGCCAAUACACAAGCAUCUUCAACUUCCUUAAGUCUCAAUUUCACCAUUGAAAAUAAGGAUAAUUAUAUCUGCUUCACAGGGUUGUUACAACUACUAAAUCAUCGUGUUGGACAGAUGGUAGGUACAUGAUAAACACUGCCUCCUUUUUAUUUCCUUUAAAAGGUAAGGGUCAUGUCAUCAAUCAUUUUUUAUAGGUCACCUUUUAUAUGGCCCUAGGAAAAUAUGAGGAAUUUUCAUGAUUAAUUCUUUGUAUAUAAAUCUUCAAAUUCUUUGUAUAUUAUUCCCUAAGGAAGAUGAGCAAGUUCUACAUCCCACUGCAAAAUGUUGUACAGAUAUUUUUAUCAGAAAAAAAAAAGAAAAAGAAAAAAGGCAUCUUCCAAAAGCCUUCCAUGACCUUCUUCCUUUUCUUAAAAAAAAAAAAAAAAAAAGCAAAAACUAUACAACCUGAACAUUCUCCCAUGGUUGCUUUCUGUUCUGCUCAGUGACAGCAAAUACCAGAACAGAGCAGAAAACCCUGAAAAGUAAAAUCAAAUCCCAAGUGCUUUACACAUCUUUCUGAGCCUCUAUGGAGGAUUCUAAAGAUUGACUCUUCUGUUAUUCAAACUGUUUCACCCACUGCCCUCUGAGAGCUCCAGACUUGGACUGUAUUUGGCAUCUUUAUCCCCUAAUGUCCGUUGUCAUCAAGAUAAGUUUUUAUUUCUCUUUGUAAAGUGACAGCAGAGAUCUAGAAAGAUGAAGAAUCUUUCCCCACUGAGCUUCAAAUAACUCACUUCUAAAGCACUUCCAUAAUUCUCACGGUGGCCAUGAGGUUGUGAAGUCUCAUUAUCUCUGACCUUGGUCUUUCUCAGCAUCUAUGACCCAUGAGAACAAAGGUCAGUUGCUGACAUUCUUUCAUUCAACCAACAUUUACUGAACACUUGCCAGGUGCCAGGUAUGGUGCUGGGUUAUAGGAAUAUGUCAAGGAUUUAUUCACUCUGAAAUAACAAGGUGAAUAUAAUCUGGUUUUCUUCAUUUCAAUAGUCUUGUUUUCUUCCCUUUUUGGAAAGCUGUCAAUAUAGUGAAAACAUAUUUAGCAAACUUUAUAUUAGGCAUCUUUGCCGCUCCAACUCUUAGUAAGUCUCUCAAUAUAAUAUAAAAUUCAGAACAGCUUUAAAAUGGGCCCUGGUCUUAAUAUAUAGGAAUAUCUUGAGCUAAAAGUUCAGUAUAGAAUAAUUUCUAUCAUUAGUGAAAUGAUCUUUCUACAGUUUAUUGUAGUCAGCUCAUCUUAAGAAAAAAAAAAAUACUGGGGAUCCCUGGGUGGCUCAGUGGUUUAGCACCUGCCUUUGGCCCAGGGCGCCGUCCUGGAGUCCAGGGAUCGAGUCCUGCGUGGAGCUCCCGGCAUGAAGCCUGCUUCUCCCUCUGCCUGUGUCUCUGCCUCUCUCUCUCUCUCUAUGUCUAUCAUGAAUAAAUAAAUAAAAUAUUUAGAAAAAAAAAGAAAGGCUUUAAAGAAAAAACAUACCUACUUGUGUUGUGAGAUGUACCUUAUAUUUCAUGAUUAGUAGACAUUGUUUGCAUUGGCCUUGCAAAUUACAUUCUUUACGUCUCCAGGUGAAUUUAUCUUGCAGGGGUAUUCAAUAGCUCUGUUAGAUUUGAUCUCAAUACACACAAAUACAACACAAACAAGAACGCAUACACUUUACAUCCAUCUUUUCCCCUUUACAU
rnacentral:lncRNA from 1 species